AGAUGUGGAGGCCUCCUGCUCGGGGCUUGCCGCCUCAUGGUCUGGUCCUGGUGUUCAUUAAAAGUUGCGCCACUGCCAGCAGAGGACUACCUGGCUGCGAAGCUGGAGGCAACCUGCUGCUCACCCUGAAGGAACCCUUUGUUCUGUUGAACACCACGUAUUCAUGAGCGAUGUUUCACAAGCUGUGACCACCUGCCAGCAUUGGAGAGACACAAAACAUCUGGCUCUCCAGAAAGCAUCCAGAGCAUGUUCUCACUUGCCCAAAUGUGGCGGCAUCAUCAACCAAGAAAUCAAGUGAGCUUUUUCAGUGCCAAUGCAAAGCAACCAGUGAGUCAAUGCUGCACCCUGGUGGACAACUAAUAAAGAAGCAGUAGAUACCAAGUCAUGCAAUUUGGAUGACCAUUGUAUCCUG